GACGAACGCUGGCGGCGUGCUUAACACAUGCAAGUCGAGCGGAAAGGCCACUUCGGUGGUACUCGAGCGGCGAACGGGUGAGUAACACGUGAGUAAUCUGCCCCUGGCUUUGGGAUAGCCACCGGAAACGGUGAUUAAUACCGGAUACGACCACUUCUCGCAUGGGAUGGUGGGGGAAAGUUUUUUCGGCCAGGGAUGUGCUAGCGGCCUAUCAGCUUGAUGGUGAGGUAAUGGCUCACCAUGGCUUCGACGGGUAGCCGGCCUGGGAGGGUGACCGGUCACACGGGGACUGGGCAACGGACAAGACUCGUACGGGGGGCAGAAGUGGGGAAUAUGGGAGAAUGGGCGGAAGCCUGAUCCAGCAACGCCGCGUGAGGGAUGACGGCCUUCGGGUUGUAAACCUCUUUCAGCAGGGACGAAGCGCAAGUGACGGUACCUGCAGAAGAAGCACCGGCCAACUACGUGCCAGCCGCCGCGGUAA
rnacentral:rRNA from 1 species